AAAAUGAAAGCCAUCAUUCCACUGAGUUAGACAGAAAUUCAUUGAACUGGUUAGGAUUCUGUCUGAAAUAACUGCACUCAAUUUGUUAAUAGGUCUGUGAGUUCUUUUAUAGGCUGUAAAUUUUAAAACUGUUCCACUGACAGUUUGACAUUCACGAAACUAGCUCUAGUUCUAUCAACUCACUGCAUGAAUUGUAAAUUUACAUUUGGCAAGCAACAGAAAUUACUUUACCUCCAGCAGGAAUAAAAGCUGUGAAUAAAGUCUGAAAAGCAUAAUGACUGACUCUAACACAUACAGGAUACUACGUUACAGGACCACAGCAGAGAGGAAUGAUGGAAGCAGGCUGGAGUGCUGGACGCGAUCUCGGCUCUGAAAGAUUCUCCCCGGGGCCUGAAAGCUUAAGGGAAUGGAUAACUGCCCCCUCCUCAGGACCAGUCCCAAGGCGCAAGACCACUUGUGCCAGCAGAGUGAGUCAGCAAGAUAGCAGAAGCAGGAAGAGCUGGAUAGCAGAAGCAGGAAGAUACAUACCCCCUGAAGAUCCAGAGGGAGGCUGUCCGGGUACUACGUAGCAGUCACGUCAGACUGGGACACUUCCUGUUUACAGUGGACUAUGAAACCCAUGUCCCGUCCUCACUUGGGGCUGAUGCCCUUUUAGACCCCAGCGCGCCUGCACCCAGGCGCUCAUGAAAACAGCGUGUUGCUCCACAUUGCCUCGUGUUGUUUGUUGGCGCACUCUCGGGGUUCGAAUUGAUACAAGAAACUUGCAGGCUUACUGCAACCUCUGCCUCCCAGAUUCAAGUGAUUUUCCUGUCUCAGCCUCCCGAGUAGCUGGGAUUGCAGGUGUGCACCACCACGCCAAGCUAAUUUUGUAUUUUUAUUAGAGACAGGCAUAAAUAAUAAA
rnacentral:lncRNA from 10 species